GUCUUUGUGGCGCAAUGGAUAGCGCGUUGGACUUCUAAUUCAUGAGUUGUGGGUUCGAAUCCCACCUGAGAUG